CACGUAGGGCGCAAGCGUUGUCCGGAAUUAUUGGGCGUAAAGAGCUCGUAGGCGGUCUGUUGCGUCCGCUGUGAAAACUCGGGGCUUAACCCCGAGCCUGCAGUGGAUACGGGCAGACUAGAGGUAGGUAGGGGAGAAUGGAAUUCCCGGUGUAGCGGUGAAAUGCGCAGAUAUCGGGAGGAACACCGGUGGCGAAGGCGGCAUCCUGGACCAACACUGACGCUGAGGCACGAAGGCCAGGGGAGCAAACGGG
rnacentral:rRNA from 1 species